rnacentral:rRNA from 1 species
AGAGUUUGAUCCUGGCUCAGGACGAACGCUGGCGGCGUGCCUAAUACAUGCAAGUCGAGCGGGCCCUUCGGGGCCAGCGGCGGACGGGUGAGUAACACGUAGGCAACCUGCCCGAAAGACCGGGAUAACUGGCGGAAACGUCAGCUAAUACCGGAUAGGAGAAAGCGAGGCAUCUUGCUUUCUGGAAAGGCGGAGCUUUUCUGCCACUUUCGGAUGGGCCUGCGGCGCAUUAGCUAGUAGGCGGGGUAACGGCCCACCUAGGCGACGAUGCGUAGCCGACCUGAGAGGGUGAUCGGCCACACUGGGACUGAGACACGGCCCAGACUCCUACGGGAGGCAGCAGUAGGGAAUCUUCCGCAAUGGGCGAAAGCCUGACGGAGCAACGCCGCGUGAGUGAAGAAGGUCUUCGGAUCGUAAAGCUCUGUUGCCGGAGAAGAACGGCCUGGAGAGUGACUGCUCCAGGAGUGACGGUAU